CCACCCCAGCUGCGGAGCCGGCGCUUAACCCCUGCGACCUUGCAGAGGUCAGGCUGGAGCGUAAAGGGUGGGUCAUUGCUAGUGAUUGGUGAUGGUUGGAUGUGAAGAAAUACACGACCAUAAUGCUUUGCCGUUUCUGGAGCGUCUUCGUACUGAGGAUCAGAUACGCAGUUUGGAAGUAAGGAACUUCUACCCCGUUCCUAACUCAAUUUAUAUUUAAAUGUAUUGUAGCAGGAACAACUGUCAUACGGAAUGAUGGACUAAACUUCUGCUGGUGAAGAUGGAAGCACAUAAACUCACAAGAUUUACACUCAGGUAUUGGGAAUGAAGCUGAAUCAGGAAGCCAGCAGACAGAAGACUUCACAGAAGAGGGGGUGUUUGACUUCAGCACUGAGAGCAAAGGAUAACAUCAAGCCUUAAAAUCUGGAAAGAACGUACCUCACAGAUUUUUCAUUUUACUAAGCGCUUCAGUGAUGAAACAGUUCAUCCUAAAACACGCCUUCAGAGACCUUUCUUUGAGACAAUAUGUGAUAAUUCUUUUAAAAAAACUUGACCCCCCCAGCUCAAUGAGACAACUCUGUUUAAGAUGGCCUUGCAGAGCCUUAGAAAAGCUCUGGGAAAUGGCCAGACACAUCACCUUGCAAUUCGUGUCAAGGGUUUGGAAUUUAACCUGAGAAGGGUAGGCGCCAUAGGGGGACUUCAAUGAGCAGUGAGGUAAAGAUAUGAGGUAUGUUUAAAUGGAUGAUUCUGUGUGGGGAAGAGAUUACAGAGAGUCAAAUGUGGAGGCAGAGAGAUGGCAAUGAUGGUUUGUACCAAGAUGGAGAUGGGGAGACAGGGCGAGCUUGGUCCUAUAUAUUGAAGACCUAGUUGACAAGAUUUGAAGAUGGAAUGUAAGCAAAGAGGCAUAGAAGUUGACUACUUUUUUUUUUUUUUUUUUUUUUUUUUGCCUAAACAGCUGGGCAAUCAUGAUGGCAUCUAGUGAGAGGGAAUUUGAGAGCAGAGAAAGUUGGAGAUCAGGUUAUGGCAUUGUGUUUGAUUCUGGACAUGCUAAAUCAAAUAUCUAAGCAUUGAUAUCAAGUAAGCAGUCUGGAGUUUGGGGGAGAUGUUGGUGCUAACAUAUACAUUGGGAGCUGUGUAGAGGUAUUUAAAGCCAUGAGACUGGGUAUGAUCUCUUAGGAAGCGAGACAGCAAAGAGAAAAAUUUCUAUGAUUGAGCCCCAGAUCCUCCAGCAUUUAAUCGUCGAAAAAAGAGGUGGAUCCAGCAGAAGAAUAUGAGAAGGGGUGGCCAGGAAGGAGGAGUAAAAUCAGAGGGUGGAAUCCUUGAAGCAAAGUGAAGAAAGUGUUUCAAGAAAGAGGAAGUGCUCAAUUACGUCAGAUGCUACCGACAGUCAGUGAAGCUUUGGUGACCUGGGUCAUGACGCUAAAUGCAGUUGCUUACUGAGUGAUGCGCUGGCACUGGGUUUUAUACCAGAUGAAAACUGAGUUAAUCAUGGGAAAAAUCAGGCAGAGUUCAGGGUGUGCUGGGUUUCAAAUAGCUGGUUUCAGAUCCCAUCCAGAGAGCCCCAGAGAGGGCUGUGAACCAUCAUGCCAAUAGAUACACAGAAACAAACCAGAGGGAAUCAGCUGAAGAUCGCUGUAGUCCUGACUCCUGCCACAUCCUUCUCUGAUGAGAAGACUGUGGGCAUAGAGAGGGUAAAUGCCAUGCUCACUGUGGAGAGCCAGAAUUCAGGCACUCUCUAGUCCCGUGACCGCUGGUUUUUGAGAUGAAGUAUCUCACACAGUACUUGUGGGACAUAUGGCUGUUAUUAAAUGCUGGGCGUCUCCUAGUUUCUGAGAUGGUACACCAGGGAAAUCCUUCAAAAACAUUACCGGAAUUGCGUUUUUGGCCCUACAAUGACAGCGAUGAGAUGAGACCCCCAAAAACAAAGGCACAAGAAGGCUUUACGGAGGCUACGGCUGGAGCCGAAAAGAGACACAGCACUGACGGAGGAUACUUAAUGUAGUCUCCUGGAACAGAGGGGGGACCCUGCUUAAACAGACAAAACCCAGGUUCCCUCUGGGCCCAGUAUGCUAAGGAGAGAAAGGGAAAGAAAAAUGCCUCAUCUUGAUUGGUUGGAAGGGCCUCGUCCUGAUUGGUGGAUAUUAGUGGCAACUCAGGCAGCCCAUUGUUGAGUUUUGGAGCUGAGGUCCUCUGGUUUAUGUCCAGCUCCUACAUGGGGCUCAUCCUGGCUGCAUCCUGAUUGUGCUCUGUAGCAGAAGUGGUUAAAAAAUAUUUUUUUAUGUUUAUUUCUGAGAGGAAGACAGAGCAUGAGUGGGGGAGGGGCAAAGACAGAGAGGGAGACACAGAAUCCGAAGCAGGCCCCAGGCUCUGAGCUGUUAGCACAGAGCCCUACAUGGGGCUUGAACUUGUGGAGUGUGAGAUCAUGACCUGAACCGAAGUGCAGCCACCCAGAGGCCCUUGUAGGAGAGGUGGUUUAAUAACAGCCAACAGGCAACGCCCCGGGUGCGUAAUGUUUUUCACUUGGGGCUCGUUCCCAUGGUCCCUGUCUCCAAAGCUGGAUUAGAAACUACCUGGCAGGGGUGCCUGAGUGGCUUAGUAGGUUAAGCUUUCGACUUUGGCUCAGGUCAUGAACUCAGGGUUCAUGAGUUCCAGCCCUGCAUGGGUCUCUCUGGUCUUUCUGCUGUCCACACAGAGCCCUCUUGGGAUCCUCUCUCCCUCUCUCAAAAAUAAGUAAACAUUGAAAAAAGAAACCAUCUGGUGACUGAAGGGAAAUUGACCACCCCUGGUCCUGACUGGGGAGCUUCACCACCGGGGAGAGGAUUGGGGGUGCUGAAGGGUGCGUACACCCUCAUGACGCCAGGAUCUGCUUGAAUCCAGCUGGAAGCAAACCAUUCUUCCCUUCUUUUUCUUUCUCUCUUUUUCCCUUCCUCCCUUCAUUCCAGGCUACAUAGUUGACUAUUGUGACGUAUAGGAGAGAGAAACAGAAGGUGCAGAUGGGGGAGGAAGGGCCCAAUAUCAGCCACACUGUGUAAAUGAGAAAUAGCGCUUUGUCCAGAGUAGAUUCUGAGUAUUUGCUAAUGAAUGAAUGCAUGCAUGCAUGCAGUAGGCAGUUAAGAUCCAGGACUGGAAGUUAGAGACUCAGAAUGGGUAAGGUCAUAGGUUUGUGUACAGUGACUUAGUACGGAAAUGCUUUCAGGGUGAUUGGUAAUUAGGAAGCCAGGUGAGGGUGUGAUUUCAGGCAAUAUCUCACCAAGGGCAGCUUGAACUCGACUGCACACAGGGACUCUAAAGUAUACCUUAUACUUACGAAGUAACCUGACCUAAGUCAUUUGAUGAAUGCAUUGCAAUGUGUGUGCAUUAUAAAAUAUAAAAUAUCUGGGGUGCCUGGGUGGCUCAGUGGGUUAAGCCUCUGACUUCAGCUCAGGCCAUGAUCUCACGGUUUGUGGGUUCAAGCCCUGAGUUGGGCUCUGUGCUGACAGCUCAGAGCCUGGAGCCUGCUUCGGAUUCUGUGUCCCCCUCUCUCUCUGUUCCUCCCCUGCUCAUGCUCUGUCAC